GUGGAGAUAGCUCUGUUGCUAGAGCAUAGGACUAAAAAUCCUCGCGACACUGGUUCGAAUAUGGUUAUCAACG
rnacentral:tRNA from 1 species